rnacentral:rRNA from 1 species
CGACCGGCGCACGGGUGAGUAACACGUAUGCAACCUGGCCGUGACAGAUGGAUAACCGGGAGAAAUCCCGCCUAAUACAACAUAAUGCCGGGAGGGGACAUCCCCUGCCGGUCAAAGGGGGCGACCCCGGUCAUGGAUGGGCAUGCGGCGCAUUAGCUAGACGGCGGGGUAACGGCCCACCGUGGCGACGAUGCGUAGGGGUUCUGAGAGGAAGGUCCCCCACACUGGUACUGAGACACGGACCAGACUCCUACGGAAGGCAGCAG